CGCAGACCUCCGAACACGCCCCUCUCACCUAAGAGACCGGUUGGCUGGACUGCACCAGCCCAACGACACGCCUCUUCCCGGUUUUGAGAGAGCAAGCUUGCAAGUCUGCCAAGGCUCUGAAGGAGCCCGUAAACCGGCCAGUACACUGACUGCUCCUAUCCUAUUCAUCAAGCAACCUAACCAGGUAGUGCCAGGCCCACAGACAGAGAGGAUGCCAGGCCCUGGGGGUGCGGGCUCUUCUGGGCAGUCGGGCUAGCAGAGCCUUCCUGCUUUGCCACAGCCACCAUCUAUGUGCCAACAUCUUGGACCACCCAAGGCCCAUGGAGCCAAACCACAUUACCACUCACCUCCAUGGCAUCCAGAGACAGGUUGCAGGAGAGCUCAAAUCUCUUCACCAGGAUUUGCUCCCGGACGUGGUAAAGGCACACGAAUUUGGACAUGCCCCCCGCCAGGAUGUUCUGCCCGUCCGCAGAGUAACACAGGGUGGUGAAGGCCCUGGGUAGAAGACACAGUUUCUCAAGCACCACUCACUGUGACAUGUGCGCUCAAAAGCCAACUGGAACAGGUAGGACGCACCCCACCGUGAUACCCUAGGAGGCAAAUACUUAUCACACUAGGGUGGCGCAAGGUUCCCCGGCUAACCUCAACAAGGCAGGUACACUGGAGAUCCUCAAAGACAGCACCCACCCACCACUCCUUUCCUUUCUUAGAUGGCACCACCUGCGGGAGCCUGUGACAUCCCAGAAUCAGUCCAGAACCAAACGGGUCCGAAAGGGCAGAAAAUGCAGCCCUGGUGUAUACCAGAUAGUCAGCAAUGGCUUGCCAAUGGAGAACUCUUAUCACAUGUUUAGACUCAGCAAAUCCACAGCAUCUCCUUGUUGGUAUGAUGCGGGCUCGCAUAGACCAGAGGCCCGCCUACCUCCACUAGAGACUAAGCGGUCUAAGAAUGUAUUUGGCAAACAAGCAAAGGGGCUCUGUGCCCUGUGGACCGCGCCCCACCCCGUUGGAAGAGCAGACACUCACUUGCCCUUGGCUGCGUGCUUGGCUGUGAUCUUGUCCAGUUCCUUCCUGCCGGUCUUCAGGUCAUGCCUGCCCUCGAUGGAGCCCACCUGUACAGCAUUCUCAGGGUCCCAGAAAGUGAUCUGUGAAUUCAGCGUGGCCACAGCCAGCUCUGCACCAUCAGGCCGGAAAGUUACCGCUAGGGCUAGAGAGAGAUGGACAUCAGGCCCAGGAGGCCAGCGAACCCCAAGGUGCAUAGGGAAUUCAUCCAGAGCGGCACCAAGCCUGGAGGCAAGAGCGCUGAACACAACAGCCGGGGACAAACCAGUUCCCUGAUGAUAUGGGUAGUGGGGGGUGGGGAGUGGUGGCCCUUUGUGCCACGCAGACACAAGAGCUCCUAAGGCAGCACAGGGUGAGCAGCCUCAGGGAUGCAGUGUGUUGGUUCCUCAGGUGACAAGAGAGUCACACAGGUCGCCCUAUAUAGCUCAGUCUGCCUCUGGCACUGCCUUUACCUUAAAGGCUGCUCUGGAAACCAAUAGGGAAUGUGACAGCCUGACGCAGCUGGACAGUGGACUCAGUGACCAGUUCUCUCUCGCCAUGCCACCAACCUAGGGGUGUGCUGAGCUGCUGGGUCUGGGGGUCCAGCAUCCUCACCUCCCACUGAGCUCACAUCAAAAACCCAACAAGGGCCGAGGAGGAGGCGGCACACUUAGAGAACAUCAGGCUGGAUGGUAACAGGAGAAAAUCGGCUCUGGCCCCAGUCCAUCUGCAGACCCAGCCCCAGCUCACCGUCAGAGGUCAGAGUCAAAGUUUCUUUGGUUCUCCAACUGUCAAACAUGUCCCACAGGCGCACUGUCUUGUCCCAAGAGGCACUAGCCAGGAUGGACUUCAUUGGGUUAAAGCAAAGACCACUGAUGGGUCCCUCGUGGCCAGACAGAACCUACAGAGGCGGAGGAUCAGAGACAGAUGUGGGAUGUGGGAAGGCUGGAGCCCUAUCUCGGGCUGUGAGGAAGAGUGUGGGGAGCCCUGACGGAUGGGCCGAACCCUCCAUUAACUGCCACUGCUUGUUACAUGGAGUUCUGUGCUUGGCUCUGCACCCAGGUCCCCGAGCCGAGCCCCAGCCACUGCGGGACAGCCUUGCCCACCUGCCCCCAAGCACUCUAAGGACGUGGACUAGGGGACCAGGUUGCUCUUACAUCCAGUAGCCUGCCUGUCUGCAUGGACCACACAAAGAUCUCAAAGGAGUCCUGCGCCCCUGCAGAGAUGAUUUCUCCACUGGAGUCGACAGCCACACAGGAGAACUGUGUGGGGCGCGGAGACGUGAAGGUGCGGAAAUUCCGGUACCUGAACAGAGAGAAGGUCCAGGGAGACGUCAACACACACCCGUGCCUCUUGAGUGCUUUGUCCACGAAGGACCUGGAGCCCCCAGGGUGCUUGGUAGGCAGGACUCACCUGUGAAGAUCGAAGGCUCUCACGGUGCCAUCCAAGGAGGAGGUGACGAUGACAUGGCCCGUGGUGGUGAACGUCACGCCUGUGACCCCACUCGUGUGCUCCGUGAGAGUGACAAAGCAGAAGCCACUGAGGGUGUUCCACACUUUGACCUAGAGAGCGAACACAUGGGAGGGAGCUAUGAACACAGCUACCACACACAGCCAUAGCGGCUAUACCAGGUGAUGGUUCCCGUCAUCACCGCUGGGUGGAGACUCAGGGUGUGAGGGUGGCAGUGAGAAUUCUAAUGCAGGUGAAUGUGGCCUGAGCCAGGCCCAGCCAGCGCCUGACGCUUCACAUGUUGCCUGGGGCCUGGAACUCUCAGAGUCAGAAACAUGAACACUUGGACCCUCUCCAUUCUAAGUCCACUAAAUGAUCUUUUAGGGGCCCACGAGGGCUGUUAGCCUGAGAAUUGGAGGCCAAACUUCCGCCCACCCACCUGGCCUACCCACAGCUCAGCCCGAUGAAGCCCGGUACUCACCUUGCCAUCGUCCCCACCAGUGACAAUAUACUGCCCAUCAGGGGAGUAGGCCAGGGCCACCAUGCUGUUGAAGUGGCCCUGCUGCUUGAGCACGUAGGAUUCACUCUGCCAUUCCCACACCAGCAGCUGGCCCAUGCCUGUGGGCACAGGAAAGCGGGAGUUACUGUCUAGAUGCCGCCCCACCCCCAGCCUGUGGGCAUGGCAUGGGACAGGGGACAGGGACACAGUCAGCCGGGUCUGGACUCACCUCUAGCACACACUGAGAGCACAGGCCUAAGGCAGCCCAGGGCAUGGGAAUCAAAAGAGCUAGGACAGAAAGUGAACCCCACCCCCACUGCGGAGACUGACACCAUCUGCAGCCCUGCAGGUGACUGGACUGGAUGGAUCCAGGACUACUAGGCAGGGAUGCGGGCGCCUCUGCAGGCCAAGACGAAAGGGCCAUUUUACACUAGAAUUUAAGUAUGAGUGUGAGCCUCAGAAGAUUGCCCAACUCUAGCCUACACUGACUCUCCUGAAGUAUACACCUAGAGCCUACACUCCUGCUUAGAUGGGCCCUGGGAAGUUCCUCUCCCCAGGAGAGCAGGCUUCUACUCCACAAGGCACAGAGUGGCACUCUGGGACCCCACAAGGUCCAGUCUGGCUUGACCCGGCUCUUCGCCCAAAGACCUGACUUUAGGUCGGCUUUUGGGCAGAUGCGUCCCUUCUACAGGGAACCUACCUGAGCAGCCAAAGGCGAUCCAGUCACCAGAGCUGUUGAUGGCAACCGAAGCAACCCUCUGAUCGGAGAUGCUGGGUGGACAAGAGCAUAGUGAGGCUAGGGUGACCAGGAGCGGCCAUCCUGUAAACUACCACACCCCUCCCCGCUCCUGGAAGAGCCCAGGCCCUGCUUGCUGGAAUCUGCCAGCGGUCACUAGAGAAACUAGCACUUUAACACGCUCUAUGCUCCUGAGAUGAAGAACGGAAUGGAAAGACCAAGGAUGGGGAGUGGACCCCGACCCUCACACCCAAGACUGGCAUCUGUGGCUCAAGUGUAGGAUGCAGUGGUUGGUAGGAAGCUGUCCCGCAGGCCCAUUCACUGGGGCCCUCACUGCACAUGCACGGGAGCAUCCCAGUGAGCUGCACUUACCUCAGGGAGUGGAUGAGGUUGAACUCUGGGAGCUCGUGCAGAUGGAAGAUUCCAGAAGCAAAACCCGUGA